CCUUUGGGGUUAAAAGAUUGACAUAGGUUGAAAUACCGCGUCACGUGACCGUCGUCCAUCCUUGUCACGUGACUCUGUGUUGACGGAAAUGCUUCAGGAAUGGCGAGAAACGAAGAGAAGCAGUUUGGAAAACUGAAUCGACUGUGGCUCCAGAAAGAGAGAGUAGGACAGGGCAUCACAGGAUUGUGAACGGUGUAACAUUUCUGUCACAUGCUUGAGGUAUUCGACCAAUCACACCAAACACACUGGAUAGCUGCCCAAUCAGAGCACACCUCAAUUUUCAGAAUGAGGAGCUUUGUUAAAAUCUAUGCAUUUCAAAAAGGUUGGACAUAGAGAAGAAACAAUAAUGUACAGAAUGUGGUUUUUUUGAACCUUAAACUGCAUAAACACAUUUCAUUACACCAAAUACACAAAGUAAUGUUCUUUUUAGCAACAUCAUAUGGUCCUUUGUUGUGACGUUUUUAUCAGCUGUUUGGACUCUCGUUCUGACGCCACCCAUUUACUGCAGAUGAUCCAUUGGUGAGCAAGUGAAAUUUCUCCAAAUCUGUUCUGAAAAAGAUUCUAAUUUUUGGGUGGACGAUUCCUUUAAAAGUUACAUCAUGACCUACAUUUGUCCUGAUGUCAUGAUGUCAGUACGUAUGCUGAUUGUAUGUACGCAAGCAUAUUCAAGAACCUGUGGUUAAUGUAAAUCAUAUAUAUGUCAGAAUUAAUGUACACCCUACUAUAGGCAAAAUAUAAACCUAAAUAGGAAAAUAAUGUGCAAAUAAAUGUAAUAUUUUUUAGCUAAAAAAAUGUGCCUUCACAUUCCAAGCGGCCCUUACAGAGAGGAAGAGGAUGUUAAUGAGGACGUCAAACCAGAGGAAGCAGGAAACCGCAUAUCUCACACUUAAGAACUACGCUCGCCAUCAGCUCCUGCUCCGACCCCCCCAAACCAGGAAGCUUCAAUCCGUGAAAUUAUUCAUUAUGCAAAUUAGCUUAUUUUAUUAUUAUUAUUAUUAUUAUUAUUAUUAUUAUUAUUAUUAUGCUGCAUAUUUACAGGGAUAGUUCACCCAUAAAUGAAAAAUUGUCAUCGUUUACUAACACGUAAAACUUUGGAUCAUCUACGGAAACACAAAUUAGGAUAUUUUAAUGAGAAAGCCCAUUGAAAGUCCGGUUAACCAAAACCAGAAUCGACCAGCUUAAAUAUAAGUAUUUUUGUGGAUGAACAGAUUUAAUUUGCGCACACAAGAACCAGUGAGGUUUGUUUUUAGCCUGUGAUGCACAAAAGUCUGUGUUUAUCAUAUGGGAUUUGCUAUAUGUUUGUGUGUUUUAUAAGUAAAUAAAAGCCUAUAUUUACACUGUUCAUCAAAUAAGGAGUCCCUUCAGAAGGCUUGGAUUAAUCUUUUAUAUAAUUUGUUUUAUAUAUUCCUAAUAUGGAUCUUUUAAAAUUUUGGUUACCUGUGCUUUCAAUGUAUAGACAGAAACCUCUUAGGUUUCAUUAAAAUAUCUUAACCUGUAGAUGAAUUUAUUGGUUUGAGGGCGAGAAAUUUGACAAAAUUUAUGUUUUUUGGGGUAAACUAUCCCUUUUAACAUUUGAUAUUCAAAAUAUGUCUGAUGAAAGCAUGGAAGUGAAACUUGAAAGUAAAACAUUUUCGAGUGAAACCUGAAA